GAUGAACGCUGGCGGCGGGCCUAACACAUGCAAGUCGAGCGACCGGACGAGGAGUUUGCUCCUUUGCUGUUAGCGGCGGACGGGCGAGUAAGUCGUGGGUAUCCUACCUACACUACUGGGCUAAAUACGGCAACCCGGGUCUAACACCUGCUGAUAUUUUUAACUUCAUGGUUCCAAAUUGAAAGACGGUCUUGCUGUCACUUAUAGAUGGAUCCGCGCUGCAUUAGCUAGUUGGUAAGGUCACGGCUUCCCAAGGCAACGAUGCAUAGCCUACCUGAGAGGGUGGUCGGCCACACUGGAACUGAGACACGGUCCAGACUCCUACGGGAGGCAGCAGUAGGGAAUCUUACGCAAUGGGCGGAAGCCUGGCGGAGCAACGCCGCGUGGGUGAUGAAGGUCUUCGGAUCGUAAAACUCUGUUAUUAGGGAAGAACAUAUGUGUAAGUAACUGUGCACAUCUUGACGGUACCUAAUCAGAAAGCCACGGCUAACUACGUG
rnacentral:rRNA from 1 species